AAUCUGUGAUGCAAACAUUUUUAAACCAACGUUUUAAAAUGUUCUCAAGCCUAAUAAAAACUUUCUCCUUCCAUCUGUCUAAAGACAGCAACCUCUCUUCAAAUCU
rfam:Gossypium hirsutum cultivar TM-1 chromosome 21, whole genome shotgun sequence